rnacentral:rRNA from 1 species
UACGGAGGGUGCAAACGUUGCUCGGAAUCAUUGGGCGUAAAGCGCGUGUAGGCGGCUUGUUAAGUCGGGUGUGAAAGCCCUGGGCUCAACCCAGGAAGUGCGCCCGAAACUGGCGAGCUAGAGUACGGGAGAGGGUAGUGGAAUUCCCGGUGUAGAGGUGAAAUUCGUAGAUAUCGGGAGGAACACCAGUGGCGAAGGCGGCUACCUGGACCGAUACUGACGCUGAGACGCGAAAGCGUGGGUAGCAAAC